CACUUGAAAUAUUUAAUUAUAUUUUGUAAAUUUUUCUUUCAUGUAUAACUGUAAGAAAAUUCUGUAUUUCUUUAUUUUUUUAUUUCUUUUUAUUUUUUUUUUUUAAUAAAAUGUCAUACUGAUUGCUUCUUGGAAUUUGUUACGCAAGAUAUAAUGAUCUUUAGUAUGAUUCUACUUUAAAAAGAAGAAAAAAAUUACCUUACGCAUAGAAAGGCCACAGAGUUCGCGAAAUAGCUCACCAUCAUCCCCACCGCGGCGAAUGUCCCGCCUAUUAGAGUUACCGUACGAUAGGAAUACUUAACCGAAAGUACACUAGAGAGUGGGCCUGGAAAGAUAAAAUAACGUCGAAUUAAAAAACCAUGUUCGCUUAUAGAUUAGAAUUUUUAUUCGUGCAAAUAUUUCCAAUUCUCUGAAUUUUGACUGAAUUUUAUCAUGAUUUUAGCGGUUUCUCAUUCUUGAAAAAUACAUAAAUCGAUGAUUCAGAUUCACAUGUCAAACGUAAUACGCCUAAACAAUCUGUUUAUUCGUAUCUCGUGAUUCUUAAUUUGUUUGCUAGAAUACAUUGACAUGAUUCAUAAUAUACGAAGAAAAACUGCAUGUAAACAAUAAACGCAAGCAAAUCUUUCCAUUUCGAAGUCUCCAUACUAUCGUGAACUUCCAACUAUCUUUAUCGAAAUGUCAAUAUAAAAUCCGUAUAUUUGCAUUAUGACGUAAUGUAUGAAUUAGUAUGAUAUAUUUUCUCGAUGGCCUUAGUUUCUUUUAUAUAAUUAGGUAUCAUUUAAUUAUAAUAUCUCGAAUUAAUGGAAGAAUACACGAUAUGGAGUUUAAAAAUUUUAAAAGCCAAACGACUAACAGUAAAUCGUAGGAGACUAUAUCUAAAUAUUUAACCAUGAAUUAUGUAAACGAAAAAAAUAUAGUAAAAGUGAAAAAAAAAUUCUCUGCAGAGAAUCCGACAUUUAGAAAAGACGUCUAAAAGCCUACACGGGCACGUUCCCAAAAAUUGUAUCGAUGUAAUAUACAAUAUAUGUAGAUAACGACCCGGUUCUUACCUAGUGAACUAUAUAGAAAAUAACAGAGCGAUGGUAUCCAUGCAGCUGCUGCUGGUGAGGCGUCAAAUACAUCCAGGAAUUCGACGAACAAUACUCCGAAGGACUUGAUAGUGCCAGGGAUGAGAAGAUUAACCAUGACAGAGGCCAGAAGUACCAGCCAUCCCCAGCCUCCGUCUGGUGGAAUCAAUUCUUCCACUACCUUUACAUGUUUCUCUACAAGAAGAAUAAAGAUAUGAAAAUUGGAAGACAAAACAUACAAAUCAUAAGCGGAAGAACAAUAUGUUUUGCAAACCAUACUGGGGUUAUCAUAGUAAUUCCAGCUGGGUUUAAUAAAAAUUGUUACACAUUCUGAAGAUAAAAGAGGAUAAGAAAGGUUCUCGAAACAACGCAUAGCGAGAGCGAGAGAGCAAAUGUCUCCGUCAUUAAUAAUUGGAAAAGAAGACCUGUAUCGCACGAAGGCAGACAACGGGAUUUCCUUUUUUUCUUCCCGAAGAUACACCCUGUAUAUUGAAUGACUCGCGGCAUUUUGCUCACCUGGUUUAUUGGUCCCAUUAAGAUGUUCCUUGUUGUUGUCGGAGUCCUGAGACACCAGCCUGUAGUCGCCCUUCCGGGAUUUACCCGGGCCGAAUUUGAUGUUGAUCCCAUUGUCCUGAUCUUGAACCCGUUGCAUCGUCAUCGACCUUUAUCCGCGCCUCGCACGCGCGUGUACCAUACACACGAAAAACGACACACGCGGCCGUCCAUACACACAGCUGGGAGAGAUAAAAAACGUGGGGGCCGAUCACACCACUACCGGACGAUAUAUAUAUAAAUGUAUAAUGCACGUAUGUGUUGAAUUAUAUAUAGUAUAGCGUGACAGUUUUAAAUGCAAAACGCGAAAAGAUAACGAGAACGGGAAAAAGAGUGGGAAUAAAAUUAGAGAUGAAGAAAGACAAAGAGAGAGAGAGAGAAAGAAAUAAGAGAGGGCAACAGCCGUCGCGUUUCCUUCCUUCCUAUUUCUAUAUUAAUUCUCUCUCCGCGUUUGCCCUUUCUCUGCUCUUUAUCACUCGUUGCGCGCGUGCUCCGGAUGAAUAUUCACGAUGGUAUAGAUAAGUAGAUAGAAUAUAGAUACGUAGAUACCGCGAUUACGGGGAAAGACGCGCGUCAAUGCUCCGCGUUCUCACGAGCAAGCGACGACGAGGCUGCUGCUCGUGAGCCUGUGUCAUGAACCCGAUGAGCUGGCCAGCUUCCUCGUCGGUCCUCGUGCUUCCUGCUCCGGCCUCCUCUUUUUCCACCACAAUCAUCCGCCGCCGUUCCAGUCAUAGACCCCGUCGACCCGUCGAUCGACCCGACCGUACCUCCUCCGUUCUUCCUCUUCCGCCCUCGCUGCCGAAUUACGAUCGUCUCGUCGCGAUGACGGUGCCUCGUCCACCCAAGCUCGCUGCCGACUACCUCGUCUUCGCCGUCGUCCAGACGCAUAGAGAACGCGUAGCAACACCGGUGCGCGUACAUGAACCCCGCGGCUUGCCGUCACAAUGCCGCCGUCAUUCCGCGCGUUUCCCCCGCGUAUAAAACACCCGCCGUCUGUCACCUACGCGCUCGCGACCCUGCGUCUGCGUGCGCCACGAGCCGACUGAUCAGCUGUGUGUCAUGACGCGGGCCAGGAGGGCGUCGAGUCCCCCCACUCCUUCCUCCCUCCCUCCCCUCCAGCGUUCUUCCACGCGCCACGGACCUCUAUCCCCUCCACGACGCCCCGCUUCAGCGCGCAUGCGCGCGCCAAUACUUUAUCCCUCUCGCUCGCGCGGCCGCUUCUUCAUACGCGUGACGCGCGCGCACCGUGGAGGAAGUCUCGGUGUACCUUUUCUUUUAUCGCAUCCCUACUCCCAUUGUUACAGUCGAUAGCCACAGUGGUCCACGAUCGGUGGUUCUUUUUUCUUUGUUUGUCUUUCUCUCUCUUUCUCGUUUUUUUGUUCUCUCGUCCGCGACCAAAAUAAGGACGCAGCCCCGUGUUUCUUCGAUAUAUUAACGUAGAACUGCGUAUAACAAUUUCCUCGUUUAAUAUUCGAAGGAAUAAGAGCAGAUAAAGGAUAUAUUUGAUAUAAAAAAAAUAAUAAUUUUUCUUAAAAACGCAAUUGAAUGUAGAACGAUUUCGUGGUGAAAAUAUAAAAAAAAUUGGCAAUUAUAUAUACCAGUAAUUACAUUAUAGGGGAUAUAUUUUCUUUUAUGUUAUUUUAUUGCAAUUAUACGAAAUUACACUAUAUUCUUAUCGCUCUUUAACUGCGGAUAUAACGGAUUAAUAUGUAAUUUGUAUAUAUGAUUUGAAACAAGGAAAGUGAAGAAAAAUAAAGAUGAAAUUAUAGAAAUUGAAAAUAAAUUUUUAAUGCCUUAUAAAUUUUCUUGAACGACUCUAAUAAUAAGAACAAAACAACAAUAAGGAUAAGGAGAGAAAUAUAAUAGGAAACAAUUAUUUGCAUCAUAACUACAAAGUACUGUCAGAUAAUUAGAUACUUAUCAGAUUUAUUCUCUCGAGAAAUAUAAAAUUGUCUUACUUUCCAA